GUGGGGAAUCUUCCGCAAUGGACGAAAGUCUGACGGAGCAACGCCGCGUGAGUGAUGAAGGUCUUCGGAUUGUAAAGCUCUGUUAAUCGGGACGAAAGAGCCUAGUGUGAAUAAUGCUAGGAAGUGACGGUACCGGAAUAGAAAGCCACGGCUAACUACGUGCCAGCAGCCGCGGUAAUACGUAGGUGGCAAGCGUUGUCCGGAAUUAUUGGGCGUAAAGCGCGCGCAGGCGGAUCUGCCAGUCUGUCUUAAAAGUUCGGGGCUUAACCCCGUGAUGGGAUGGAAACUGCAGAUCUAGAGUAUCGGAGAGGAAAGUGGAAUUCCUAGUGUAGCGGUGAAAUGCGUAGAUAUUAGGAAGAACACCAGUGGCGAAGGCGACUUUCUGGACGAAAACUGACGCUGAGGCGCGAAAGCCAGGGGAGCGAACGGGAUUAGAAACCCGGGUAGUCC
rnacentral:rRNA from 1 species